rnacentral:lncRNA from 1 species
CAGACACAUCAAAAUCAGUGACAGGAUGAAACCAAAUUACUAGGCCUUUUUGUGGCUGGAGCACCAUGUGAUGCAUCACAAUGCAAGAUGACAAUUGAAACAUUUAAACUGUAGUUCAAACCACAGCAAAGAAAACCUCAGGACCCAAGAUCAGACAGAGAGAGAAAGAGAGAGGCAGAAAUAAUCAAGUGCUGAAUGGGCCAUAAGGCUGGCAGGACCAGGAGAGGAUGAGGCAAUUAUCACAGAUGCGUGAGGGAGAGAAGCUGGCCAAGGUUUUAUCACAACAGUCACCCAUAAAACAACUAAAAGAGCAAAUUUUCAGGGAAAUGUUGCGUUUGACUGAAAAUGAUGCAUUUCAUUUUGGGAAAUUUUGAAAGAUUCAGUGGACUGAAGAGGCAGAUCACAGACUCCUAGAAUGAUUGAGGAUGGGAAGAACCUCUGGAGAUCAUCUGGUUCAUCCCACCCUUGCUCAAGCAGGGCCAUCGAGAGGCAGUUGCCCA